AUGAUCAACGCUCUGGCCUGGCUCGAGCUUCCUCUCUCGGAUCGUUUGUUCACGUGGACUAAUAAACGUGACCCCCCGACUCUCGCUUGGCUUGACCGGGCUUUCUUUGACACGGCUUGGGACUCUCUCUUCCCUGACUCUGCGCUCGUCUCUCGACCUAGAACCACCUCGGAUCACUUCCCCCUGCUGGUCUCCGUCUCGACUCGCCUCCCCGUGGCGGGCCGGUUCUACUUUGAGAAUUCCUUGCUGUUGAACCCUAGAUUCCUUCCCUCGGUCUUGCCAUCCUGGCUGCGCGUCCCUCACUCUCCCUGUGCCGCUACGCGUCUUGCUCGCCAGAAGAAAUGCCUAAGGUCGGCCACCAAGGUUUGGAAACGACAACACAAGUUCAUACCUGUUUUCGAUAACAACUGCAAGUUCUUGAUUGAUCUGCUAGACUUCCUGGAGGAGCACAGGCGACUCUCCUCCGCCGAGGGCGAGCUGUGGAAGGAUGCCCGGCUCGAGCUCGCGGCCUCGGUCGCGCGGCAGGCCGCCUUCAGGAGGCGGCCGGGGAAGUGUCGGGCUGUCCUGGAAGGAGAUGAGAACACCGGCUACUUCCACGCCCGCGCAUCCCAAUGA
rnacentral:rRNA from 1 species